AGAUUGAACGCUGGCGGCAUGCCUUACACAUGCAAGUCGAACGGCAGCACGGGAGCAAUCCUGGUGGCGAGUGGCGAACGGGUGAGUAAUACAUCGGAACGUGCCCAAUCGUGGGGGAUAACGCAGCGAAAGCUGUGCUAAUACCGCAUAAGAUCUACGGAUGAAAGCAGGGGAUCGCAAGACCUUGCGCGAAUGGAGCGGCCGAUGGCAGAUUAGGUAGUUGGUGAGGUAAAGGCUCGACCAAGCCUUCGAUCUGUAGCUGGUCUGAGAGGACGACCAGCCACACUGGGACUGAGACACGGCCCAGACUCCUACGGGAGCAGCAGUGGGGAAUUUGGACAAGUGGGCGAAAGCCUGACUCCAGCCAUGCCGCGUG
rnacentral:rRNA from 1 species